UACGUAGGGUGCGAGCGUUAAUCGGAAUUACUGGGCGUAAAGCGUGCGCAGGCGGUUUGCUAAGACCGAUGUGAAAUCCCCAGGCUUAACCUGGGAACUGCGUCUGAUACUGGAUGGCUUGAAUUCGGGAGAGGGAUGCAGAAUUCCAGGUGUAGCGGUGAAAUGCGUAGAGAUGUGGAGGAACACCGAUGGCGAAGGCAGCCCCCUGGGCCAACACUGACGCUCAGGCACGAAAGCGUGGGGAGCAAACAGG
rnacentral:rRNA from 1 species